AAGUGCCCUUGGUUUCAGGGAGAGUUUUGUUAAUUUUGCAAGGCUUCUGAAACUUCCCUUCCUAGCAUGUUACAAAGACCAAGUUCUCACAGCUGAAACUGUUUUGAAUUAUCUUAAGCAACAGCGGAGCCUGGGCUCAUUCCACUGCUGUCAUCAAAGUGCCCCAUGUUGUGCGCUCUUGACAGCAGGAAAACAGCUUCUGAGCUUUCUUUGCCAAGUCCAAAGUUUAUUCAUAAAUUUAGUUACUUGUAUCACAGUGAACUAUGGGUUGUUCCACUUCUGUAUUUAGAUACUUUAAAAAAAAAUAAAACUUUUGGAGAAUAUGUGUCAAUGUUAACUUCUCAUUUUCACUGGUCAAACCCUGCACACGUUGGUCUCUCACUUCUUGGAAAUUAAGCCAUUUCCAUUUAUCAAGGAAAUCCAUCAGUUGGUUUCUUUUAGUGAACUGGGGCAGGGGAGGUGUGGAUAGAAUGGCUGGUAUAACUUUUCAGUGAACUAGCUUAUAGAACUAGGAGAAGCCUUUUUGAUCCUCAAGUGGUAUAGGUGACGCUGUUGAUGCUUGUGUUGAGUCCAGAACCGCAGCCGAACAUGGGGCUAGAGGAUGAGCAAAGGAUGCUGACUGGGUCUGGAGAUCCCAAGGAGGAGGAAAAAGAGGAAGAGGAAUUAGUGGAUCCUCUGACAACAGUGAGAGAGCAAUGCGAGCAGCUGGAGAAAUGUGUGAAGGCUCAGGAGCGGCUAGAGCUCUGUGAUGAGUGUGUAUCCUCCAGGUCACAGACAGAGGAUGACUGCACAGAGGAGCUCUUUGACUUCUUGCAUGCAAGGGACCACUGUGUGGCCCACAAACUGUUUAACAGCUUGAAAUAAGUGUGCAGAUUUGUUCAAUCCAGCCUUCAUCACCUGGGUAUUGGGAUAUUUCCUCAUGGUUUUGAACAUGAUGUUUAUUUGUGUAACUGA